rnacentral:rRNA from 1 species
UUUAACCUCAAAUCAGGUAGGACUACCCGCUGAACUUAAGC